rnacentral:rRNA from 1 species
GAUGAACGCUGGCGGCGUGCCUAAUACAUGCCAGUCGAGCGAACAGACGAGGAGCUUGCUCCUCCGACGUUAGCGGCGGACGGGUGAGUAACACGUGGAUAACCUACCUAUAAGACUGGGAUAACUUCGGGAAACCGGAGCUAAUACCGGAUAAUAUAUUGAACCGCAUGGUUCAAUAGUUAAAGACGGUUUUGCUGUCACUUAUAGAUGGAUCCGCGACGCAUUAGCUAGUUGGUAAGGUAACGGAUUACCAAGGCGACGAUGCGUAGCCGACCUGAGAGGGUGAUCGGCCACACUGGAACUGAGACACGGUCCAGACUCCUACGGGAGGCAGCAGUAGGGAAUCUUCCGCAAUGGGCGAAAGCCUGACGGAGCAACGCCGCGUGAGUGAUGAAGGUCUUCGGAUCGUAAAACUCUGUUAUUAGGGAAGAACAAAUGUGUAAGUAACUAUGCACGUCUUGACGGUACCUAAUCAGAAAGCCACGGCUAACUACGUG